CUUUGUGAGCUGCUAGUCUCUCUACCACACUAUCCUUAAGCCUCACCUCCCAGGAACUCUCUCUAGACCCCUUGAUAUCCAGAACAAGGGAGGCUGAGCCAUCCUCUUCCCAACUCACGCCCCAUUUUCUCUCUUGUCCUGGUGAACGAUCUCCCCUGUGGAUGCUACUCUUUCCCAUGGAAGGUGGGCCUUGCCAGCUUCCGUGGGAUAACUGUAUAAAGAUUCAACAGAAACUCCCACAUCUGUAAUGUCAUUAUAACAGCAGGGUUGAGGUGAAGAUCACAUAA
rnacentral:lncRNA from 1 species